rnacentral:rRNA from 1 species
AAUGGGGGAUAACGUAGCGAAAGUUACGCUAAUACCGCAUAUGCCCUGAGGGGGAAAGUGGGGGAUCGCAAGACCUCACGUUUUCGGAGCGGCCGAUAUCAGAUUAGCUAGUUGGUGGGGUAAAGGCCCACCAAGGCGACGAUCUGUAGCUGGUCUGAGAGGACGACCAGCCACACUGGGACUGAGACACGGCCCAGACUCCUACGGGAGGCAGCAGUGGGGAAUUUUGGACAAUGGGGGCAACCCUGAUCCAGCCAUGCCGCGUGAGUGAAGAAGGCCUUCGGGUUGUAAAGCUCUUUCGGGCAGAAAGAAAUCGCACGGGCCAAUACCCCGUGUGGAUGACGGUACUGUAAGAAGAAGCACCGGCUAACUACGUGCCAGCAGCCGCGGUAAUACGUAGGGUGCGAGCGUUAAUCGGAAUUACUGGGCGUAAAGCGUGCGCAGGCGGUUUAUUAAGACAGAUGUGAAAUCCCCGGGCUUAACCUGGGAACUGCAUUUGUGACUGGUAGGCUAGAGUGUAGCAGAGGGGGGUAGAAUUCCA